GAUGAACGCUGGCGGCGUGCCUAAUACAUGCAAGUCGAGCGAACAGAUGAGGAGCUUGCUCCUCUGACGUUAGCGGCGGACGGGUGAGUAACACGUGGAUAACCUACCUAUAAGACUGGGAUAACUUCGGGAAACCGGAGCUAAUACCGGAUAAUAUAUUGAACCGCAUGGUUCAAUAGUGAAAGACGGUUUUGCUGUCACUUAUAGAUGGAUCAGCGCCGCAUUAGCUAGUUGGUAAGGUAACGGCUUACCAAGGCAACGAUGCGUAGCCGACCUGAGCGGGUGAUCGGCCACCCUGGAACUGAGACACGGUCCAGACUCCUACGGGAGGAAGCAGUAGGGAAUCUUCCGCAAUGGGCGAAAGCCUGACGGAGCAACGCCGCGUGAGUGAUGAAGGUCUUCGGAUCGGAAAACUCUGUUAUUAGGGAAGAACAAAUGUGUAAGUAACUAUGCACGUCUUGACGGUACCUAAUCAGAAAGCCACGGCUAACUACGUG
rnacentral:rRNA from 1 species